CCUACGGGAGGCAGCAGUGAUGAAUAUUUUUCAAUUUUCUCUAUCCUUAACCAUCCAAUUCUCUUUAUUGAAGACGGUCCUAUGGAUUGUAAACCUCUUUUGUCGGGGAGCAAAAGACGCCACGCGUGGCGUUCCGAGAGUACCCGAAGAAAAAGCAUCGGCUAACUCCGUGCCAGCAGCCGCGGUAAUACGGAGGAUGCGAGCGUUAUCCGGAUUUAUUGGGUUUAAAGGGUGCGCAGGCGGAAGAUCAAGUCAGCGGUAAAAUUGGGAGGCUCAACCUCUUCGAGCCGUUGAAACUGGUUGUCGUGAGUGAGUGAGAAGUAUGCGGAAUGCGUGGUGUAGCGGUGAAAUGCAUAGAUAUCACGCAGAACUCCGAGUGCGAAGGCAGCAUACCGGCGCUCAACUGACGCUCAUGCACGAAAGUGUGGGUAUCGAACAGGAUUAGAUACCCCUGUAGUC
rnacentral:rRNA from 1 species